UUGGCAAUAUGUCUACGCUGGU
rnacentral:siRNA from 1 species